GCGGAUUGCGUUGGAUUGAUGGGCGCUUGUGUGUUCAGCCUUCGGGUGCAUUGGCACAAGUGCUUAUCCGCCGUGAGUUUCUAGGGGUCGAUUUUGGACCCCUGGGGACUGAGGGCUCCCUUCGGGUGAGGACGGCGGAGUGACGACGCGAUACGACCCGUCUUGAAACACGGACCAAGGAGUCUAGCGCGGGUGCGAGUCGGAGGGUGCAAGCCCGUGGGCGAAGUGAAAGCGAGUUUAAAAACUAGCAGUUUGGGGCGGCAUAAGAUCGUUGAUCUCAAGACCGACCCAGAGCAGUUGCGCUGGGACCCGAAAGAUGGUGAACUAUGCCGGAGUAGGGCAAAGCCAGAGGAAACUCUGGUGGAGGCUCGUAGCGGUGCUGACGUGCAAAUCGCUCGUCGAACUUGGGUAUAGGGGCGAAAGACUAAUCGAACCAUCUAGUAGCUGGUUCCCUCCGAAGUUUCUCUCAGGAUAGCGGGCCGACAAGUUGUUUUGUGCGGUAAAGCGAAUGAUUAGCGCAUUCGGGGGCAUUUAGCCUUUGGGCGAUUCUCAAACUUUCAAUGCGCAAGGGUGCCGCUGCUUAAUUGAGCGGCACCGGUAAAAACGUCGGCCCUGUGGGCCACUUUUGGUAAGCAGAACUGGCGAUACGGGAUGAACCGUAAGCAAGGUUAAGGCGCCAAACUGCCCGCUUAUAGACCC
rnacentral:rRNA from 1 species